GCAGGUUUUUUUCCACAAAAGAAGUCCCACUGCUGUUUCUUUCACUGGAUAAUGCCAUCUUGCUGCCCAGUCUGGUUGGGGUCAGCGGUCACUGAAGGACUGGGUGUAUUGCUCUGCAAAAAUCGACGGAAGUCCUUAAUCAUGGGGCGGAGGACCUGGAUGAGGGCACUCAGUGCAGCCUGUGUUCCUUCCAUGGCUUGAGCCUGGCGCUCCUGCGCGCAUGCCUGCACCUCCUGAGAGCGACGGAUCAUCUGAAGCAAGUCAUUCUGCUGCUCCAGGUGCUGGGCAAUCUCCUUCACGUGUAAGUUGGUCACUCGCUGCUCCUGCAGGAGCUUGGCUGAGUUCAGAGCAAUGCGGCUUUUCAACUCCUGGGGUUUUGCAGAUACUUCGUGUUGAUGUGCCAUCAUCUCCAAGGGUGCUUCGGCAGUGACUGUGGUGGGGGCUUCUGUUGUGCAGUACUCCACGACCCCGUCCUCCAGACUGUGGUAAGUUGUCUCUGCAGGAAUCUGGGUCAGCGUGACGGUGGUGGCGGAGGCGGUGAUGGGGAUCUCGGUCCCGUCGGCCGCCCCGCAGUCCCCGCUGGGCAGGCUGAUGAUGGUGGCCUCUCCCAGCAGGUUGCAGAUGCGCUGUUGCAUGGGGGUGAGGAUGACGGGGGCGGCUGUGGCACCCGUGGGGUCCUCGCCCUCCGUCCCGGCACCGCCGCCGUUCUGGCUCUCGCCUCCCCCUUCCAUGGCGGCGCGCACUUGGGCCACUUUGCGCCGCACCUCAGUCUUGAGGUCUGACCACUUCUUCUUCACCUCGGGCAGCUCGCGGUGGCAGGUGGCGACGGCGUUGACGCGCCGCAGGAUGUCAUGCCAGGCGGCGGCCUUGGCGGCCAGCGGCACGCCCGCGUUGAAGUGGUUGAUGAGGAGGUGCUUGCCGCGCUCCAGCUCCUCCACGAUGAUCUCCACCUCCCGCUCCGAGAAGUUCAUCUUCCUCUUCUUGGCCGGGGGAGCCGGGGGCGACGCCAUGGCCCUGAGGGGAAGCGGGGGAGGUGGUACUCAGAGGGCUCCUGAGGGCCUGGGGGGCCCCGCGGCCGCCCCUCGGCCCUGCCCGGCCUCCCGCAGGGCCCCCCGAGCCCGCUCACCCCGGGCCGGGGAGGAGCGGGGGGGCCCGAGGCCCCUUAGGGCCCGGAGGUGUCGCUCCCUCCCCGCUCCCCCCCUUGGCAC
rnacentral:lncRNA from 1 species